rnacentral:rRNA from 1 species
AUGAUUCAUGACAGGCAUGCCAUGAACAGGUGUAUGAUUACAAAAAUAGAUGUUAUGAAUGGGUUUAAGACUAGAGAGGAGGUAGAUGAUGACUACUUCAAUUUCGUGCUCAAAGCGAAGAGCAAUGUUGGAGUAGGCACGACAAUCAGUGUGGAUGUCUUCUUCGUGCUCUUUUUACUUCUUCGCCCCGCCUUGGUGAGGGCCUUACCGACUUCCUCGCCUUGCCGUUGGGCGGAGCAAGCGGAGGGCGAGCGGUCUUCAUCGCGGCCGCCGUUGGCCUUCGUUGACGACAUGGCGGUCCGCACCACAUUCUUCGUCCCCAAUUGCUUCCUUGGUGCAGAUGGCGGUGUAGCACCAACGGGGUUGCGGAGGAGAUCCUGCGGUUCCAUUCCUGCUGAAGUCGGGAACUGCGGUGGCGGCAAUGACGACAUUGGCGGCGGUGAUAGGAAGAGGUGGCGCCUCGGGCGGGAGUUGGGAGAGACCGAUUUUCCUCGAGAAGUAGCCGCGACCGAGUAA